UACGUAGGCAGCAAGCGUUGUUCGGAAUUACUGGGCGUAAAGAGUGUGUAGGCGGUGCUCUAAGUCUGUUGUGAAAUCUCCUGGCUUAACCGGGAGGGUGCGGCGGAAACUGGAGUGCUUGAGGGUGGGAGAGGUAAGCGGAAUUCCUGGUGUAGCGGUGAAAUGCGUAGAUAUCAGGAGGAACACCUGUGGUGUAGACAGCUUACUGGACCACUUCUGACGCUGAGACACGAAAGCGUGGGUAGCAAACAGG
rnacentral:rRNA from 1 species